GCUAACGGCAGUUGCUCCUUAAUAAGGAAAGACGGGUCGGGGCUGACAAAGACAGGUCAGUAAGUAGUACAGCGGUAAGUAACAAAUCCGCAAAUCGAAAUGAGCCAGGAAAACUGGAUGAUACG
rnacentral:sRNA from 12 species